rnacentral:rRNA from 1 species
AUUGAACGCUGGCGGCAGGCCUAACACAUGCAAGUCGAGCGAGCGGCGGACGGGUGAGUAAUGUAUGUGGAUCUGCCUUAUGGCGGGGGAUAACUACUGGAAACUGUAGCUAAUACCGCCUACCAUCGGAUGAACCCAUAUGGGAUUAGCUGGUUGGUAAGGUAACGGCUUACCUAGGCGACGAUCCCUAGCUGGUCUGAGAGGAUGACCAGCCACACUGGGACUGAGACACGGCCCAGACUCCUACGGGAGGCAGCAGUGGGGAAUAUUGCACAAUGGGCGCAAGCCUGAUGCAGCCAUGCCGCGUGUAUGAAGAAGGCCUGCGGGUUGUAAAGUACUUUCAGUCGGGAGGCGUUACCGACAGAAGAAGCACCGGCUAACUCCGUGCCAGCAGCCGCGGUAAUAC